UACGAAGGGGGCUAGCGUUGUUCGGAAUUACUGAGCGUAAAGGGCGCGCAGGCGGUCCUUCAAGUCAGGCGUGAAAGCCCCGGGCUCAACCUGGGAAUAGCGCUUGAGACUGAGGGACUUGAGUUCGGGAGAGGAGAGCGGAAUUCCCAGUGUAGAGGUGAAAUUCGUAGAUAUUGGGAAGAACACCAGUGGCGAAGGCGGCUCUCUGGACCGACACUGACGCUGAGGCGCGAAAGCGUGGGGAGCAAACAGG
rnacentral:rRNA from 1 species